rnacentral:lncRNA from 1 species
GCGAGGAUCUGCGUGCGGCCGCGUUCCUUGAUGGGGAGGAGCGAGAUAAUCUUACGGAGCAUGUCGUCGGGGAGGUCGCUGAGGUUUCUGAUGUGGUGGAGAUCUCGUCCGUGUCCGCAUCCAUCGUGUUCAGCCGCUCCGGGAUCGGGCGGUGCCGCCGGUGGUGCCGGAGCCGGAUAGCGCUCGACCUCGAGUGCGGCUGACUUCCUCUUCCGGGUAGCCGUACUCCUACUACUACGGCCGGCCUCCAUCUGUUUGGCAGAGAUCGGCCCUGAGGAGAAUUAGGUUCUAUGGUGGAGCUCGGGAUUGGAGGACUGGGAGGGGAGGCUAGGGCCAGAUGCGGAGCGGACGAAGCAACCUCGAUCGCUUCUGAGGAGAGUGUGUGUUUGACACUUUGAC